rnacentral:lncRNA from 1 species
UGAAAUUAGAUAGCCUAAUGAAAAGGAGAACCCUCCUAGUUUGAGGUAUUGCAUCCCUGAACUCAGAUUUCUAUUUUAAUUAGAUGCUGUGUUUCUGCAGGGAUGAAGGCCCCAUGGAAGAAUUCUCACAGGGAGGCAGAUGCUGUUGGAAGGAGAGAGCCUGGAAUGUCCGUAGUGGUCAAGAGAAAUGUGUAUGUGGGCGUGUGGGAGGGUAUCAAGGGAAGUGAUCACUGCCAAGCUGAUUUAUUUUUUAACUGCCAAAGCAUUCCCGGGAUAUUCUUCCUGGUUGCUAGGAUCAGAGAGCUGGUAAGUUUCAACAAUACGUCUAUCUAUUCCAAGUACAAGCAUUUUUUUGGUAAACAUAUUUUUAAUCCUAAAAAGACAACGAUAAGAUUAAGGAAACUUUGAAACAAAAUGACCACUCAUAAUUCCACUACUCUUUAGUAGGUGAUAUUGUAUUUUUGUGUUUUCUUCUAGUCUAAACACUCUCUUUAACAAGACUUUUAGGUGAAUUUUCUGUUGGCAUAAUAUCUGUUAAAGCAGCUUCUAACACCCAACAAGCUGGGAAUAAUUCUACAGUCCUGCAUCACUCUGCAUUUAGGUGGAAAGUUGAAC